CCAGCCCCGGCUGCGCCCUGCCAGCCCUCUGCUAGCCCCCAUGCCGCAGCAGGGAGCCCGGGGGAGCGUGGCUGAGACCAGGCCCUGCUUGCAUCUCCCACCCUCCCCCGGGCUCCUCACCCCCCUGGAAGAGGCGGUUUUGGAGCAGCCUGGCUGUUGGUGGCAUCCCUCGAGCCGGACGGUUGGAGGCCGGCGCGGAGCUGCUGGUAGCGGUGGAGGCUUGUGCUGGCGUUGCCGGACACGGGCACCCCCAGCCGCCUCUCCCUGCUGCCAGCCCCGGGGGCUGCGCAGGGGCCCCCUGAGCCCCUCCGGCACGGCGGUCGGACUUGCUGCCACUGUGCACCCCCGGCAAUGCCAUCCCGGCCGCACUGCGGUGGGGAGGGCAGGGGGCUGAAUAAUGUGAAAAGGAGAAGUUUCUCAGUCGAUGAGAAGUGACUGUCAGUCUUGGUUUUGUUCCUGGUAAAGCUAGUGCAUCACCUACUGUAAGGGAGCUCCGAUCUUUUCAUUUCGAGGUCUCUUUUAUUUUGGGGUACCUCCCUGCAAAGUCACCUACCUGCACUCCUCCUGCUUGGUGGGCACCAGUGGACCCUCUGGCCCCAUAGCCGUGGGUCCCGCUGGCGGGGUGGGUGGCGGGUGCGGCGAUGGAUCCCCUCGGAGAGCGUUGCAAGGUCAGGCGCCCGCUGCCGCCGGGAGCGGGAGCUGCCAUCUUCUGCUGUGGCUCCGCUCUUCCUCCCAUCACGGAGCAGCUCUUGGUUGCAGAAUCUUUUAAUAUUGUGGAGAGCUACAUUGUACCCUAGUUGCACUUCUGAAAAUGACAUGCAAUAUCUUCUGGAACGUGGAAGCAGCGUGUUCGUUAGUGUAGUGCUAAUGGGGAAGCAGAAGUGUCUGUUGGUUGCUCUGUGGUACCCGCUGAUGGGGCUGACCUUGGCGGGGGCAAGGCAUCCGGCCGCGGUCCCGCUGGGGCGGCACGGGACCUGCUGGGAUCGCUCUUCCUUCUGUAAACUUGAUGUUACCGUGUGUGGGGUAUGUGGGGUGGGACAAGGUGUUUUCUUUACGUGCAAACCACUGUCUAGAGUGGUGGCUCUGACGUGUCUGUAUCUGAGUGUCUUGUUCUCUUCCCUCUUUUUUGUUUUCUCCAGGACCAGCAUUCUGUACAACUCGAAAGAGAGUGCUUUGUAUUUAUUAGAAAAUGCAGAACUUGUGAUACUGGAAAGAACAGUGCAAACCCAAUAUCUGAUUAAACUGGUUCAGUAUUGAAUGCUGUCGAACUUGCUGUGUCUUGUCACCUCACCAAACCUACCUAAUCUGGCAGUGGUGUGUGGGAGCAGGCUCUCUGAUGGCAGCUUGGUAUCUGGGCUUGAUGCUCUCCAAGUGGGACUAGUAAAACAUGAAAUCUG
rnacentral:lncRNA from 1 species